AAGUAUACCAAACAAGAGAUGACAGGUUCAAAUUAUGCAUUAAUACAUAGGUGCAAGGAUUAAGUAGGAAACAAAGAGGAAAUGAGAAAUCCUUAUAUAGGAAAUGGAUAUUGUCUCUCUUAUUUUGGAAUGAAAUAGUAGGGCAUUACCCGAAUGAAGCAGUCAUGAAAAUGCAUUCGCAGAAGUGCUGCAGGAACUGUUUUGUCCCUAGUUGUGGCAUCCUUCACUGCUUUGGCAACAAUGAACUCAACAUUAGGGCAUGACUUUUCAUAGUGGUUCAAGCUCAGUGAGUUUCCUGAGGAAACUGCA